rnacentral:rRNA from 1 species
UACGGAGGAUGCGAGCGUUAUCCGGAUUUACUGGGUGUAAAGGGAGCGUAGGCGGCAGGGCAAGCCUGAUGUGAAAACCCGGGGCUCAACCCCGGGACUGCAUUGGAAACUGCCGAACUAGAGUGUCGGAGAGGCAAGUGGAAUUCCUAGUGUAGCGGUGAAAUGCGUAGAUAUUAGGAGGAACACCAGUGGCGAAGGCGGCUUGCUGGACGAUGACUGACGUUGAGGCUCGAAAGCGUGGGGAGCAAACAGG